rnacentral:lncRNA from 1 species
GUGCCACCACGCCUGGCUAAUUUUGUAUUUUUAGUAAAGACGGGAUUUCUCCAUAUUUGUCAGGCUGGUCUUGAACUCCCGACCUCAGGUGAUCCACCCGCCUUGGUCUCCCAAAGUGCUGGGAUUACAGGAGUGAGCCACUGUGCCUGGCCCAUUUAAAAAUUCUUAAUUGGCUUUGUGAUUCUCAAAUAAGGCAACACUUCCUUUCAUAAAAUGGAAUAAAUGUUCCAGGGAACUGAGCAGAGGAGGUUGGUUUUAUAGACCAAAAGGGCUAAAGAAAGCAGAAACAAAAAAGAAAAAGUGAAUUGGUCAUUUUAAGGUUGCUUUCCUCCUAAGGCAAGAAUAAGGAGACAGAACAAUAGAAAAAAGAACUGAUUGACUAACCUUGGGUCCCUUUUUGUUGUAAGGAUUAAAGGCAGAGGGAACUUCAUUAUCAUGCCACUGAAGCUGGCCUGUUUGGGAAGUUGGACUGUUAUCUCUCUCCUGAUGGAAGGCCAGAGAGCAGCAAGAUUUCAGGGCUCUCACGUUCUCCAGUGCAGUGCAGUCUUGAACAUUCUUUGAAUUGAGGAUACUCAUUAACUACAUUGCUGCCACCAAACCCCCAACAGCCUUGGCAGAGCCCCUGGGUGUGUGUGGGUAGGGGAGGUUUGGGGGGUGUGGAGGGGGCCUGGAACCUAGGGUGGGCCCAGCGCCGGGCAGGGGUCUGGACGUGGGAAGGUGACCAAAGUGUGAUAGGGACAGCUGUGAGGGAGGCCCUGGGCGUGGGAGAGUCAGACAUGGGGUGGGGCCGGGACGUGGGGGACGAUGGCUAGAGGGUGUGGGGGUCUGGAAUGCAGGGGGCCGGGAUACUGGGGGAUCGGGUAUUGCAGAAGUUGCUGGGCACGGGGAAAGCCGGGUGUGGGAGGAGACUCAGGCCAUGGGGUGCAGGCUUAGGCGGCCUUGGGGAGCGGUUUUGA